rnacentral:lncRNA from 1 species
GGCCCAGACGUGGCGCAGCGACUCGGAGGUUCGCCUCCAGCUUGCGCAUCAUCUGCGGCCGGGUCCCGAUGAGCCUCCUGUUGCCUCCGCUGGCGCUGCUGCUGCUUCUCGCGGCGCUUGUGGCCCCAGCCACAGCCGCCACUGCCUACCGGCCGGACUGGAACCGUCUGAGCGGCCUAACCCGCGCCCGGGUAGAGACCUGCGGGGGAUGACAGCUGAACCGCCUAAAGGAGGUGAGCUUUCGUCACGCAGGACAUUCCAUUCUAUCACAACCUGGUGAUGAAACACCUCCCUGGGGCCGACCCUGAGCUCGUGCUGCUGGGCCGCCGCUACGAGGAACUAGAGCGCAUCCCACUCAGUGAAAUGACCCGCGAAGAGAUCAAUGCGCUAGUGCAGGAGCUCGGCUUCUACCGCAAGGCGGCGCCCGACGCGCAGGUGCCCCCCGAGUACGUGUGGGCGCCCGCGAAGCCCCCAGAGGAAACUUCGGACCACGCUGACCUGUAGGUCCGGGGGCGCGGCGGAGCUGGGACCUACCUGCCUGAGUCCUGGAGACAGAAUGAAGCGCUCAGCAUCCCGGGAAUACUUCUCUUGCUGAGAGCCGAUGCCCGUCCCCGGGCCAGCAGGGAUGGGGUUGGGGAGGUUCUCCCAACCCCACUUUCUUCCUUCCCCAGCUCCACUAAAUUCCCUCCUGC